UACGAAGGUGGCAAGCGUUGUUCGGAUUUACUGGGCGUACAGGGAGCGUAGGCGGUUGGAUAAGCCCUCCGUGAAAUCUCCAGGCUUAACCUGGAAAGUGCAGAGGGGACUGUUCAGCUAGAGGAUGGGAGAGGAGCGCGGAAUUCCCGGUGUAGCGGUGAAAUGCGUAGAGAUCGGGAGGAAGGCCGGUGGCGAAGGCGGCGCUCUGGAACAUUUCUGACGCUGAGGCUCGAAAGCGUGGGGA
rnacentral:rRNA from 1 species